UACGUAGGGUGCAAGCGUUUGUCCGGAAUAUUGGGCGUAAAGAGCUCGUAGGCGGUUUUGUCGCGUCUGCUGUGAAAUCCCAGGGCUUAACCCUGGGCCUGCAGUGGGUACGGGCAAACUAGAGUGCGGUAGGGGAGAUCGGAAUUCCUGGUGUAGCGGUGAAAUGCGCAGAUAUCAGGAGGAACACCGGUGGCGAAGGCGGAUCUCUGGGCCGUAACUGACGCUGAGGAGCGAAAGCAUGGGUAGCGAACAGG
rnacentral:rRNA from 1 species